rnacentral:rRNA from 1 species
GAUGAACGCUGGCGGCGUGCCUAAUACAUGCAAGUCGAGCGAACAGACGAGGAGCUUGCUCCUCUGACGUUAGCGGCGGACGGGUGAGUAACACGUGGAUAACCUACCUAUAAGACUGGGAUAACUUCGGGAAACCGGAGCUAAUACCGGAUAAUAUAUUGAACCGCAUGGUUCAAUAGUGAAAGACGGUUUUGCUGUCACUUAUAGAUGGAUCCGCGCCGCAUUAGCUAGUUGGUAAGGUAACGGCUUACCAAGGCAACGAUGCGUAGCCGACCUGAGAGGGUGAGCGGCCACACUGGAACUGAGACACGCUCCAGACUCCUACGGGAGGCAGCAGUAGGGAAUCUUCCGCAAUGGGCGAAAGCCUGACGGAGCAACGCCGCGUGAGUGAUGAAGGUCUUCGGAUCGUAAAACUCUGUUAUUAGGGAAGAACAAAUGUGUAAGUAACUAUGCACGUCUUGACGGUACCUAAUCAGAAAGCCACGGCUAACUACGUG